UGAUUAUGCUUUGUAAAAACAUAUAUAUAUAUAUAUGAUAUAUCCUAUUAUUUUGAAAUUAAGCAGAACCCUUUGACAGCUUGGAUGAAUUGUUUACAUAACCUUCUGCGGUAUACUAAUCACUGAAUAAUUUUCAAGACUUUAAGACGUUAUAGAGCGGAAAAAGUUAUUCUACAAUAUCCGGAAUAAUUUCCAGAAUCACAAACAUUCUUCAAAUACAUUUACAUUAUACUUCGCAAGAUGAUCUUCAUGAGAAAAUUGUAUUUAAAUUUUGAACUGGAAAUUAGCAUAAAAAUUAAGAAACUGGGAUGGUUCAACAUUUAUUAGAUUUCUGGCUUUUCAAACAGUCGUCGUCGUAUUAAAAACAAUACAUUGAAGACGACUUUCGAUUUUAAUUUUGACUUUAAUCAAGAUUUCAAAGAGCACAGAUACACAAGUGGAAACAGAGAGAAGCUGUCCAUUAACAGCUUUUCUUUGUUUACUUGUAAGUUUUUAAUUUGAAAUAAAAGCGUUUUAUAAAUUAAAACUUAAAAAGAAAGUCGUCUUCAAUAUGUUGAUAUAAACGCCGACCAAUGUACAUAUCUUUCUGCUAAUCGCUGACGAAAACAUCCUUAGUUUUCUCGCUAAAACUGAGUGCCAUUAUUUUUGUUGCACAUUAAUUUUUUUAUGGCUUGUAAUUUAUUAGGAUCAUAUUUCCCAUAGCUUCUAGACUCUAUGGGGGCCAUAAAAAUUACUUAGGAUCCGAAUACAAUCAUAUCGAAUAUUUAACAAUCAUAAUUAACCCGUGUCCUUGGUAUUUAUGUGUCUUCUCUCAAUAUUGUAAAAUUCAAAAUCUUAAUAUUUUGUAAAAAUUUAUAAAUUUUGUUAUAUAAAAUAUGAGGAACCUG